UGCCACGAUUGAAUCCAGGAGGUCCCGAUGUUUACUCAGAUGCAGUCGCCGAGGCUCGUUGAUUGCUCGUUUGAUUAGGUACAAGCUUGCAACAGAAUCUGAUGCAAUAGUGAGCUUCUUAGUUGCAAAUUCUUUACCUUCGCCACCAAAUGCUGCGAGGGCAGCACGAAUUGCUGCCAGCUCAGCUCUCGUAAUAGUGUUAGUGCACCCAGCGCCAUUUGGAUCCACGUAGACAACGCGAGAAUCGCUGAACCAGGCGCAGGCGCCGGCAACCUGGACUUCUUUGCCAUUUUCAGUUUUGAUUUUGCUUACCGAACCAUCUGUCCAGACAGUGCCAUUCACGUCGUGGGCCAGAGCAUGGUGGGUCUGGAAUCGUGCGUUAGGAAAGCGUCGUGCUUCGUCAGCCAUGGCGUGUAUCGUCUUUGGGUUAGCGUGCUGGUAUUUGGCUUGCUUUAGAAGUGAGUUUGGGAGGGCCGGGCAGGUUGGGGCCGUGGCCGUGUGUGUCCAUGUGCGCGGGUCGCUGAUGUGCGUGGGUGUGUUCGCCCCCCGCUUCAGUGUGUCCACGAGCCGUUUCAGGCGGGGGGCAAAGCACUGGAGUCCGGCGGGGUUCCCAACAAUGACCAGUCGGAGCCCCUUCUGGCGUUCAGCCUGGGUGUUGGUGCCAAGUCCUGUGUCAAGGCCCGCGGUGCCCGCGGACCAGUUGGCCAGCUCGUGGCAAAGUGGGAGUUGAAGCCACUGCGUGUGGGGGAAAGUGGCCGCUUUGGGGAGCGCCAAUACAGUAAGGGUUGGUUCCUGUGAGUCACGCAUAGCCUCGGCGCAUGCGAGGGCCCACAUGAGCGCCUUCCGUGCAUCGUGGGGGGUAGAGGGGGGGUGGGCAUAUUGCAAGCCGGUCCAUGCGGUCUGGUAGGCAUCGUGCAGUGCGCCAAAGGCCCCAUCAGCAGGGUCUCGUGUCCAGUAUUCGUGGGCUGCAGUGGAGGAGUUUAGUGGGGACGCAAACAUUUCCCGAACGUGUACUGCUUGUGAGACCCGCAGGCAUUGGACGAUGGCAGCUACUGUGCCUGCCGGCAGCGACACCUGGUGCAUUGGCAUGGCCUUGCGGUCCUGCUGCGCCGGGUCAUAGCGGUAGCGCAUGAUGAGGGCAGCGACCGCUUCCUCAAAGGCGUUGGGCCGCUGGUUGCCGGUGUGCCUGAAGCGCUCCCACAGGGCAAGGAGGCGGGGGUAGGUGAUGGUGCCCAGCCAGCGGCCACUGGGUUCAUGGAUGUGCGCCUCAGCUGGGUCACGGCGGGUGCCACCAGUGGUGGUAAUAGUGUAUGCUCCGGGGGCCACGAUGUCCUUGUAGGGGUUGCACGGGCUUGUGGUGAUGGUGGUGGUCGUGCGGAUGUCACGCGCGCGGGAUGCGGUAUCCAGGGGCUCAGCGUCGUGGCGGCCUUGGCGCUGUCUGGCGGUAAGGUUCCGAUCAGGUGCGGGGCGCACUGUUCGGGGCCGCGGGCCUUGGUUGGUACCGUAUGCUCGCCGGGUUUUGCACUCCUCCAGUAGCUCCUCCCAUUGUGGACUGUGUUUUAGGUCCCGUUCACGGUCCGUGCUCGGCGCCCACGUGACAUGUCGCAGGAGUUUGGUCGUCCAGGACGAGAAUAGGGGGGCCCCAGUGGGCUGCGGUGCUGCCGGCUCUGCAGCUUGGGCAGGCUCUUCAGGUGCGAUUGCGUGGGCUUGGGUUUCAGCCGGAGGCUCAGCCUCGGUCUGUGCAGGUUGUGGGCAUGGGCGCGUCGCAAGUGGGUGCUUGUAGCACCUGGCGUUCUGGAUAGUUGCGUAGCCCAUGCGAACAAAAGCAGAGACAAUGCCGACAGGGCAAAUGGACGGCUUCCACUGCACCUUCCAGUAUUUCUCACGUGUCCCAGAGGUGUCCGCUCUGGCCUUGCGCUUCCGUGUCAGUUCUUUGUCCGUGUCAGUUUGUAUAUUUUCGCUGUGCAGGACCUGUGCCAGUUCCUGUCCGUCAUUGUCCAGGUCGUAGGUGAGUUGAGUGUCACCGUUAGUGCGGUUGUCGGUGGGCCGUGGGACUAGAUCGUGUGUGAUCCUGGCGCGGGCCAGUCGCCAGCUGGGACGGGCCCCGUGACCUCCCGCAGCUUGCACUGCCGGGGCGGUCAGGGGCGGCGCUGGGCUGUCGACGUCCA
rnacentral:lncRNA from 1 species